AAGACUAUAUUUUCAGGGGUCAUUUCUAUAGUUCAUCACUAGACAAGUUUCUCUGAAUGUGUAGAGCACCCGAAACCACAAGGAGGAGGUACAAUGUUCUCUUUUCAGCAUGAAGCUGUGUUUUGGUGUUGCUUUUGCAACUGCCAAUAGUCACUGAUGAUCAUUUUUCUCUUCCUUUGGAAAAGUAAGAGGGAGAGAAUGCAGUCUGAGUUGU